AGCUGGUCUGAGAGGAUGGCCAGCCACACUGGAACUGAGACACGGUCCAGACUCCUACGGGAGGCAGCAGUGGGGAAUAUUGGACAAUGGGGGAAACCCUGAUCCAGCAAUGCCGCGUGUGUGAAGAAGGCCUGAGGGUUGUAAAGCACUUUCAGUGGGGAGGAGGGUUGAUAGGUUAAGAGCUAAUUAACUGGACGUUACCCACAGAAGAAGCACCGGCUAACUCCGUGCCAGCAGCCGCGGUAAUACGGAGGGUGCGAGCGUUAAUCGGAAUUACUGGGCGUAAAGGGUGCGUAGGUGGUUUAUUAAGUURUCUGUGAAAUCCCUGGGCUUAACCUGGGCAGGUCAGAUAAGACUGGUAGACUCGAGUAUG
rnacentral:rRNA from 1 species